AGAGUUUGAUCAUGGCUCAGAUUGAACGCUGGCGGCAGGCUUAACACAUGCAAGUCGAGCGGGGAUAGGGUGCUUGCACCUGAUUCCUAGCGGCGGACGGGUGAGUAAUGCUUAGGAAUCUGCCUAUUAGUGGGGGACAACAUUCCGAAAGGGAUGCUAAUACCGCAUACGCCCUACGGGGGAAAGCAGGGGAUCUUCGGACCUUGCGCUAAUAGAUGAGCCUAAGUCGGAUUAGCUAGUUGGUGGGGUAAAGGCCUACCAAGGCGACGAUCUGUAGCGGGUCUGAGAGGAUGAUCCGCCACACUGGGACUGAGACACGGCCCAGACUCCUACGGGAGGCAGCAGUGGGGAAUAUUGGACAAUGGGGGGAACCCUGAUCCAGCCAUGCCGCGUGUGUGAAGAAGGCCUUUUGGUUGUAAAGCACUUUAAGCGAGGAGGAGGCGCUCUAGGAUAAUACCCUAGAUGCGUGGACGUUACUCGCAGAAUAAGCACCGGCUAACUCUGUGCCAGCAGCCGCGGUAAUACAGAGGGUGCGAGCGUUAAUCGGAUUUACUGGGCGUAAAGCGCGCGUAGGUGGCUAAUUAAGUCAAAUGUGAAAUCCCCGAGCUUAACUUGGGAAUUGCAUUCGAUACUGGUUAGCUAGAGUAUGGGAGAGGGAUGGUAGAAUUCCAGGUGUAGCGGUGAAAUGCGUAGAGAUCUGGGAGGAAUACCGAUGGCGAAGGC
rnacentral:rRNA from 1 species